rnacentral:rRNA from 1 species
AGUGAACGCUGGCGGUAGGCCUAACACAUGCAAGUCGAACGGCAGCACAGUAAGAGCUUGCUCUUACGGGUGGCGAGUGGCGGACGGGUGAGGAAUACAUCGGAAUCUACUUUUUCGUGGGGGAUAACGUAGGGAAACUUACGCUAAUACCGCAUACGACCUACGGGUGAAAGCAGGGGAUCUUCGGACCUUGCGCGAUUGAAUGAGCCGAUGUCGGAUUAGCUAGUUGGCGGGGUAAAGGCCCACCAAGGCGACGAUCCGUAGCUGGUCUGAGAGGAUGAUCGGCCACACUGGAACUGAGACACGGUCCAGACUCCUACGGGAGGCAGCAGUGGGGAAUAUUGGACAAUGGGCGCAAGCCUGAUCCAGCCAUACCGCGUGGGUGAAGAAGGCCUUCGGGUUGUAAAGCCCUUUUAUUGGGAAAGAAAAGCAGCAGGUUAAUACCCCGCUGUUCUGACGGUACCCAAAGAAUAAGCACCGGCUAACUUCGUG